UGCCCCGUGGCCCAGAUGGUUAAGGCGUGUGACUGUUAUACCCUAUGAAGACUAUCGUAUUGCAAUCACAAGAUCGAGAGUUCGAGCCUCUCCGGGGCAG
rnacentral:tRNA from 1 species